GACGAACGCUGGCGGCGUGCUUAACACAUGCAAGUCGAACGGAAAGGCCCUGCUUUUGUGGGGUGCUCGAGUGGCGAACGGGUGAGUAACACGUGAGUAACCUGCCCUUGACUUUGGGAUAACUUCAGGAAACUGGGGCUAAUACCGGAUAGGAGCUCCUGCUGCAUGGUGGGGGUUGGAAAGUUUCGGCGGUUGGGGAUGGACUCACGGCUUAUCAGCUUGUUGGUGGGGUAGUGGCUUACCAAGGCUUUGACGGGUAGCCGGCCUGAGAGGGUGACCGGCCACAUUGGGACUGAGAUACGGCCCAGACUCCUACGGGAGGCAGCAGUGGGGAAUAUUGCACAAUGGGCGGAAGCCUGAUGCAGCAACGCCGCGUGCGGGAUGACGGCCUUCGGGUUGUAAACCGCUUUCGCCUGUGACGAAGCGUGAGUGACGGUAAUGGGUAAAGAAGCACCGGCUAACUACGUG
rnacentral:rRNA from 1 species